UAGAUCUGAAACAUCACUCUGCUGCUCUAUGUGGUUGACCACUGAAGCUAAGCAGGGUUGAUCCUGGUCAGUACCUGGACAGGAGACCACAUGGGAAAACCAUGUUGCUGCUGGAA
rnacentral:rRNA from 1 species